CACAAGCUAGACCAAGAAUGUUGAGGUGGUCAAAUGUGAGGUGGAGUACUCUGAAGAUUCAAGUAGCCUUUGAAAGGCUUAAGUCUGCCGAGGUCAGCAAUUUACUUCCUUAUCUCAUUGAAUUUGUUUUUUUGACGUGUUUCAUUAUUUUUUACUCUAUGUAAUGUCUUGCAGGUUUUUUAUAAUUUUGUUGACAUUUUAGAUAGCGAGCAUCAUCUCUUAGGUUCUCCAUUACAAGAACCAUCUAGCCCCGAGCAACAUCCCCCAGGAAAGGAUGUUAUAUCCCAGCCACAGUCGCCCGCAUUCAUUGGUAUUGCUGAGCCUAUAUUUUCUUAUCGUACCAGUCCCUCACCAAUAGACGAGAGGCAUCAACAUAGUGCCUCUAGUAGUGGAUUUCAAGAAAUCCAUGAAUUACUAAAGGAGCAUCACACAUUGUUCAUGGAAUUUCAAAUCUCAGUGCUCAAUCGGUUGACAGACCUAGAAAGUACAAUGAAAUAAUUAAAAUCAGAAGUUAAAGAGAUUAAUAAAGCUCUAAAAUCACCCGUUGGGACAUUACCAACUACAUGGGUGCAACAGUCCCCGCUUGGGAGCCUAUUUCAUAGAAUUAAGACAAGGAAGGGGAGAAAAAAAAGGGCUCUCAGUUCCCCAUUUUUGGUAUUUGAACGGAAGAAGAAGCAGAAAACAAGUCAAGAAGUCACUGAAAAGAAUGAAGAGAUUGCUCAUGUACAUACAGGUGAAGUAAAUAAAUUUGAUCAGCAAGCCAUAACUGAAGAAACUCUGCAAACACCACCAGUAGAUAAACACAGCGAUCAAGAACAUUAUGAUCUGCAUUAUGUUCCUGAAGACUACCCUGAUAAGGUAUGUCCAGCCCAACUUACGGUCGAUUUUCCGGCCAGAAAUCAAAUUUCAGAUUAUAUGAGGGAAGCAAUCGAUAUUUGUUGUAAUAAAUUCACGGACAUGUAAGUUAAAAAAUUUCACUAAUUGAUUAUCUUUCACUCUUGUGCUUAUUAAAUAUUUGGAAUGCAGGGGUGACUUAAUAAUUGACAUGGGACAU